rnacentral:rRNA from 1 species
UUAAGCGACUAAGCGUACACGGUGGAUGCCCUGGCAGUCAGAGGCGAUGAAGGACGUGCUAAUCUGCGAUAAGCGUCGGUGAGGUGAUAUGAACCGUUAUAACCGGCGAUUUCCGAAUGGGGAAACCCAGUGUGAUUCGUCACACUAUCAUUAACUGAAUCCAUAGGUUAAUGAGGCGAACCGGGGGAACUGAAACAUCUAAGUACCCCGAGGAAAAGAAAUCAACCGGGAUUCCCCCAGUAGCGGCGAGCGAACGGGGAGGAGCCCAGAGCCUGAAUCAGUGUGUGUGUUAGUGGAAGCGUCUGGAAAGGCGUGCGAUACAGGGUGACAGCCCCGUACACAAAAAUGCACAUAUUGUGAGCUCGAUGAGUAGGGCGGGACACGUGGUAUCCUGUCUGAAUAUGGGGGGACCAUCCUCCAAGGCUAAAUACUCCUGACUGACCGAUAGUGAACCAGUACCGUGAGGGAAAGGCGAAAAGAACCCGGCGAGGGGAGUGAAAAAGAACCUGAAACCGUGUACGUACAAGCAGUGGGAGCCUCUUAAUGGGGUGACUGCGUACCUUUUGUAUAAUGGGUCAGCGACUUAUAUUCUGUAGCAAGGUUAACCGAUAGGGAGCCGAAGGGAAACCGAGUCUUAACUGGGCGUUAAGUUGCAGGGUAUAGACCCGAAACCCGGUGAUCUAGCCAUGGGCAGGUUGAAGGUUGGGUAACACUAACUGGAGGACCGAACCGACUAAUGUUGAAAAAAUUGCGGAUGACUUGUGGCUGGGGGUGAAAGGCCAAUCAAAACCGGGAGAUAGCUGGUUCUCCCCGAAAGCUAUUUAGGUAGCGCCUCGUGAAUUCAUCUCCGGGGGUAGAGCACUGUUUCGGCAAGGGGGUCAUCCCGACUUACCAACCCGAUGCAAACUGCGAAUACCGGAGAAUGUUAUCACGGGAGACACACGGCGGGUGCUAACGUCCGUCGUGAAGAGGGAAACAACCCAGACCGCCAGCUAAGGUCCCAAAGUCAUGGUUAAGUGGGAAACGAUGUGGGAAGGCCCAGACAGCCAGGAUGUUGGCUUAGAAGCAGCCAUCAUUUAAAGAAAGCGUAAUAGCUCACUGGUCGAGUCGGCCUGCGCGGAAGAUGUAACGGGGCUAAACCAUGCACCGAAGCUGCGGCAGCGACACUAUGUGUUGUUGGGUAGGGGAGCGUUCUGUAAGCCUGUGAAGGUGGCCUGUGAGGGUUGCUGGAGGUAUCAGAAGUGCGAAUGCUGACAUAAGUAACGAUAAAGCGGGUGAAAAGCCCGCUCGCCGGAAGACCAAGGGUUCCUGUCCAACGUUAAUCGGGGCAGGGUGAGUCGACCCCUAAGGCGAGGCCGAAAGGCGUAGUCGAUGGGAAACAGGUUAAUAUUCCUGUACUUGGUGUUACUGCGAAGGGGGGACGGAGAAGGCUAUGUUGGCCGGGCGACGGUUGUCCCGGUUUAAGCGUGUAGGCUGGUUUUCCAGGCAAAUCCGGAAAAUCAAGGCUGAGGCGUGAUGACGAGGCACUACGGUGCUGAAGCGACAAAUGCCCUGCUUCCAGGAAAAGCCUCUAAGCAUCAGGUAACAUCAAAUCGUACCCCAAACCGACACAGGUGGUCAGGUAGAGAAUACCAAGGCGCUUGAGAGAACUCGGGUGAAGGAACUAGGCAAAAUGGUGCCGUAACUUCGGGAGAAGGCACGCUGAUAUGUAGGUGAAGCGACUUGCUCGUGGAGCUGAAAUCAGUCGAAGAUACCAGCUGGCUGCAACUGUUUAUUAAAAACACAGCACUGUGCAAACACGAAAGUGGACGUAUACGGUGUGACGCCUGCCCGGUGCCGGAAGGUUAAUUGAUGGGGUUAGCGGCAACGCGAAGCUCUUGAUCGAAGCCCCGGUAAACGGCGGCCGUAACUAUAACGGUCCUAAGGUAGCGAAAUUCCUUGUCGGGUAAGUUCCGACCUGCACGAAUGGCGUAAUGAUGGCCAGGCUGUCUCCACCCGAGACUCAGUGAAAUUGAACUCGCUGUGAAGAUGCAGUGUACCCGCGGCAAGACGGAAAGACCCCGUGAACCUUUACUAUAGCUUGACACUGAACAUUGAGCCUUGAUGUGUAGGAUAGGUGGGAGGCUUUGAAGUGUGGACGCCAGUCUGCAUGGAGCCGACCUUGAAAUACCACCCUUUAAUGUUUGAUGUUCUAACGUUGGCCCGUAAUCCGGGUUGCGGACAGUGUCUGGUGGGUAGUUUGACUGGGGCGGUCUCCUCCUAAAGAGUAACGGAGGAGCACGAAGGUUGGCUAAUCCUGGUCGGACAUCAGGAGGUUAGUGCAAUGGCAUAAGCCAGCUUGACUGCGAGCGUGACGGCGCGAGCAGGUGCGAAAGCAGGUCAUAGUGAUCCGGUGGUUCUGAAUGGAAGGGCCAUCGCUCAACGGAUAAAAGGUACUCCGGGGAUAACAGGCUGAUACCGCCCAAGAGUUCAUAUCGACGGCGGUGUUUGGCACCUCGAUGUCGGCUCAUCACAUCCUGGGGCUGAAGUAGGUCCCAAGGGUAUGGCUGUUCGCCAUUUAAAGUGGUACGCGAGCUGGGUUUAGAACGUCGUGAGACAGUUCGGUCCCUAUCUGCCGUGGGCGCUGGAGAACUGAGGGGGGCUGCUCCUAGUACGAGAGGACCGGAGUGGACGCAUCACUGGUGUUCGGGUUGUCAUGCCAAUGGCACUGCCCGGUAGCUAAAUGCGGAAGAGAUAAGUGCUGAAAGCAUCUAAGCACGAAACUUGCCCCGAGAUGAGUUCUCCCUGACCCUUUAAGGGUCCUGAAGGAACGUUGAAGACGACGACGUUGAUAGGCCGGGUGUGUAAGCGCAGCGAUGCGUUGAGCUAACCGGUACUAAUGAACCGUGAGGCUUAACCUU